GACGAACGCUGGCGGCGUGCUUAAUACAUGCAAGUCGAACGGACAGGCCCUGCUUUUGCUGGGUGCUCGAGAGGCGAACGGGUGAGUAACACGUGAGUAACCUGCCCUUGACUGUGUGAUAACUUCAGGAAACUGGGGCUAAUACCGGAUAGGAGCUCCUGCUGUAUGUUGGGGGUUGGAAAGUUUCGGCGGGUGGGGAUGGACGCGCGGCUUAUGCGCAUGUAGGUGGGGUAGCGGCUUACCAAGGCUUCGGCGGGUAGCCGGCCUGAGAGGGUGACCGGCCCCAUUGGGACUGGGGUGGGGGCCGGAGUCCUACGGGGGGCAGGAGUGGGAAUUUGUCCGCGAUGGGCGGAGUCCGGGUGGAGCAUCUCCGCGUCGGGGAGGACGGCUGUCGGGUUGGAACGGGCUUUCGCCUGUGACGUAGCCAGUGUGACGGUAAUGGGUAAGGAAGCACCGGCUAACUACGUG
rnacentral:rRNA from 1 species